rnacentral:rRNA from 1 species
AUGGCGUCCCGUCUCGCGUCCCGCCUCCUCCUCCGCCGCCCCGCCGCCGUAUUAAGUUUGCUCCAGAGUUCUAGACAUGCUAGACAUUUCAGCACUCAGUUACUUGAAGGUGUUCCGAGACUUCCAAAGCCAACAUGUGAACGCUAUUUCCUUCGAAAUGCUUCUCCUUAUCAAAUUUGGAGUAGAUCAUUUGCUUCAGAGAAUGGUGACUUGGUUGAAGCUGUUGUGCCCUUCAUGGGUGAAUCUGUCACUGAUGGAACCCUUGCCAAUUUCUUAAAGAAACCUGGUGAUAGAGUUGAAGCUGAUGAGGCGAUAGCUCAGAUUGAAACUGACAAGGUUACAAUAGAUGUUUCCAGUCCAGAAGCUGGGGUAAUUGAAAAGUUCAUUGCCAGUGAAGGUGACACUGUUACUCCAGGUACCAAAGUUGCCGUGAUAUCUAAGUCUGCUGCUCCAAGUGAGGCCCAUGUUGCACCAUCUGAAGAGACCUCCCAGAAGGAGACCCCUCCACCACCUCCUCCAGAAAAACCUAAGGUCGAGGCAAAAUCACCAAAAGUAGAAUCUGUCAAACCACAGGCGUCAAAACUAGCCUCCCCCUCAGAACCUCAGCUCCCUCCAAAGGAAAGAGAGAGACGGGUGUCAAUGCCAAGGCUCAGGAAGCGUAUAGCAAAUCGUUUGAAGGAUUCUCAGAACACUUUUGCACUACUGACUACAUUCAACGAAGUUGACAUGACCAAUUUGAUGAAGCUGCGGACUGACUACAAAGAUGAGUUUGUUAAGAAGCAUGGUGUCAAAUUGGGUCUGAUGUCCUGCUUUGUUAAGGCUGCUGUUUCUGCGCUUCAAAAUCAGCCAAUUGUUAAUGCUGUUAUUGAUGGCGAUGACAUCAUCUACAGAGACUACAUUGAUGUUAGUGUUGCUGUUGGCACUUCCAAGGGUCUUGUGGUGCCAGUUAUCCGUGAUACGGAAGGAAUGAACUUUGCUGACAUUGAGAAGGGGAUAAACAGCCUUGCAAAGAAGGCAACUGAGGGGGCAUUAUCAAUUGAUGAGAUGGCAGGGGGAACCUUCACAAUCUCAAACGGCGGUGUCUAUGGAAGUCUUAUCAGCACACCUAUCAUCAACCCUCCACAGUCAGCAAUUCUUGGAAUGCAUUCUAUUGUCCAACGCCCUGUGGUUGUGGAUGGCUCCAUCCUUGCGAGGCCAAUGAUGUACCUUGCACUGACAUAUGACCAUAGGCUGAUAGAUGGCAGAGAAGCUGUCCUGUUUCUGCGCCGCAUCAAGGACGUGGUUGAAGAUCCACGGAGGUUGCUCCUUGACAUAUAG